CAUGCCUGGCUUUUUAAUGUUUUUCAUGUCUGUGGGCUUAUGAAAUACUAUUUUGCAAAAGCACUAAAAUUUGCCAUCAAAGGGAAAUCUGUGAUAGAAGAGGAUACAAAACAGGUGUGGGAUGUUGACAGCAUUUGCCAUCACAUUAAAAGGGCUACUUAAGGAGACCAAGGAUGAAGGAGUCCACAUGAGCCCAAGAUAAGAACCCUGUGGAGCUGUCGCUAGAAUCCUCCAUCUCACCCAAGAUAACAGGCACUCGAAAGAGGCCAGGCGAUGAAAAGGAGCGACCCUCACAUAAUCUCCAGCUCCAUCCACCGGAGCACACUGGGAAGAGCCACUCUUGCUGAGUCAGAUGCAUGUCUGCUCCAAGUGUCCUCUGCAUUCCAUGUUGAAAGAGCCUCCCCUCCAGGACAGUGUUCCUGGUUUAGAUGGAUUAGAUCAAGACUACCCUGCCCCCACCUGCCUUCAUGUGCUCAGAGGCUGGGCUUUUGGGAUCAUGGGGUGCUAUACUCAUCAAUGGAUUCUUCUAAUGAGU